CUCAGAGUGAACGCUGGCGGUAGGCCUAACACAUGCAAGUCGAACGGCAGCACAGUAAGAGCUUGCUCUUAUGGGUGGCGAGUGGCGGACGGGUGAGGAAUACAUCGGAAUCUACCUUUUCGUGGGGGAUAACGUAGGGAAACUUACGCUAAUACCGCAUACGACCUUCGGGUGAAAGCAGGGGACCUUCGGGCCUUGCGCGGAUAGAUGAGCCGAUGUCGGAUUAGCUAGUUGGCGGGGUAAAGGCCCACCAAGGCGACGAUCCGUAGCUGGUCUGAGAGGAUGAUCAGCCACACUGGAACUGAGACACGGUCCAGACUCCUACGGGAGGCAGCAGUGGGGAAUAUUGGACAAUGGGCGCAAGCCUGAUCCAGCCAUACCGCGUGGGUGAAGAAGGCCUUCGGGUUGUAAAGCCCUUUUGUUGGGAAAGAAAAGCAGUCGAUUAAUACUCGGUUGUUCUGACGGUACCCAAAGAAUAAGCACCGGCUAACUUCGUGCCAGCAGCCGCGGUAAUACGAAGGGUGCAAGCGUUACUCGGAAUUACUGGGCGUAAAGCGUGCGUAGGUGGUUGUUUAAGUCUGUUGUGAAAGCCCUGGGCUCAACCUGGGAAUUGCAGUGGAUACUGGGCGACUAGAGUGUGGUAGAGGGUAGUGGAAUUCCCGGUGUAGCAGUGAAAUGCGUAGAGAU
rnacentral:rRNA from 1 species